rnacentral:rRNA from 1 species
AUUGAACGCUGGCGGCAUGCCUUACACAUGCAAGUCGAACGGUAACAGGUCUUCGGAUGCUGACGAGUGGCGAACGGGUGAGUAAUACAUCGGAACGUGCCCGAUCGUGGGGGAUAACGCAGCGAAAGCUGUGCUAAUACCGCAUACGAUCUACGGAUGAAAGCGGGGGAUCGCAAGACCUCGCGCGGACGGAGCGGCCGAUGGCAGAUUAGGUAGUGGUGGGGUAAAGGCUCACCAAGCCUUCGAUCUGUAGCUGGUCUGAGAGGACGACCAGCCACACUGGGACUGAGACACGGCCCAGACUCCUACGGGAGGCAGCAGUGGGAAUUUUGGACAAUGGGCGCAAGCCUGAUCCAGCCAU